rnacentral:rRNA from 1 species
CGUAGGUGGGUUGGUAAGUCAGUGGUGAAAUCUCCGGGCUUAACUCGGAAACUGCCGUUGAUACUAUCAAUCUUGAAUCUCGUGGAGGUAAGCGGAAUAUGUCAUGUAGCGGUGAAAUGCUUAGAUAUGACAUAGAACACCGAUAGCGAAGGCAGCUUGCUACACGAGUAUUGACACUGAGGCACGAAAGCGUGGGGAUCAAACAGGAUUAGAUACCCUGGUAGUCCACGCCCUAAACGAUGGAUACUCGACAUACGCGAUACACAGUGUGUGUCUGAGCGAAAGCAUUAAGUAUCCCACCUGGGAAGUACGACCGCAAGGUUGAAACUCAAAGGAAUUGG